CCCUUUAGGGGAAGAAGACGAAGGGGGUUCCCCUUUAGUUCCCCUUUAGGGGAAGAAGAAGAACUAAAGGGGAACCCCUUGGGAUCCCCUUUAGGGGAACCCCUUGGGAUCCCCUUUAGGGGAACCCCUUUAGUUCUUCAUCCCCUUUAGUUCCCCUUUAGGGGAAGAACUAAAGGGGAACUUUAGGGGUUCCCCUAAAGGGGAAGAAACUGUCCCCCCCCUUUAGUUCCCCUUUAGGGGAUGAACAAGUUUGGUGGUCCCCUUUGGGUGUCUUUGGGUUCCCCUACUUGUUCCCCUUCGGGGAAAACCAAAGAGCUCCCUUUGGUACACUUGUCAUCCCCUAAAGGGGGAACUAAAGGGAAUGAUGACAACCCUUUGGUUCAUCCCCUAAAGGGGAACUAAAGGGGACGAUAACCUUUGGUUCGUCCCCCCCCCUUUGGGCUCGUUCCCUUAGUCAUCACCGAAGGGUGGCAUCCCCUUUGGUAACCCAAAGGGGGACACCAAAGGGUUGUCAUCAUUCCCUUUAGUUCCCCUUUAGGGGAAGAAGAAGAACACUUUAGUGUUCCCCUUUGGUUCCCCUUUAGGGGACGAAGACGAAGGGGUUCUUCCCCUUCGUCUCCCCUUCGUUUUCACACUAAAGGGGAAGAAGAAGAACCCCUGUCUCCCUCUGGUCUAAGUCCCCUAGGGUUACUUCCCUUUAGUUCCCAUACCCUUUGUUCCCCUAAAGGGGAUGGGGAACAAAGUUUGUUCAUCCCCUAAAGGGGAACUAAAGGGGGUUCCCCUUUAGUUCAUCCCCUAAAGGGGAACUAAAGGGGAUGAAGACAACCCCUUUUGGGGGAACCCAAAGGGUAAACCAAAGGGGAAACCCUUUGGUUGUCCCCUUUGGUUUACCCUUUUUGUUCAUCUCCUUUAGUUCCCCUUUAGGGGAUGAACUAAAGGGGACAGCCUUCCUUAUUCGGUUCCCCUUUAGGGGAUGAGCCGAAGGGGGAACCAAAGGGUAAACCAAAGAAGACGGAAACCUUUGGGGAACCUUUGGUUCCCCUUUAGGGGGACGUCAUCCCCUUUGGUUUACCCUUUGGGGAUAACCUUUGGGGGAACCCUUUGGUAACCCCCCCCUUCGGGGUUGUCUUCCCCUUUAGGGGAACCCCUU
rnacentral:lncRNA from 1 species